rnacentral:rRNA from 1 species
CAGCCGCCGCGGUAAUACGUAGGGUGCAAGCGUUAUCCGGAAUUAUUGGGCGUAAAGAGCUCGUAGGCGGUUUGUCGCGUCUGCUGUGAAAACUGGAGGCUCAACCUCCAGCCUGCAGUGGGUAAGGGCAGACUAGAGUGCGGUAGGGGAGAUUGGAAUUCCUGGCGUAGCGGUGGAAUGCGCAGAUAUCAGGAGGAACACCGAUGGCGAAGGCAGAUCUCUGGGCCGUAACUGACGCUGAGGAGCGAAAGCGUGGGGAGCGAACAGGAUUAGAGACCCCGGUAGUCCCUGUCUCUUAUAC